rnacentral:rRNA from 1 species
AUUGAACGCUGGCGGCAGGCCUAACACAUGCAAGUCGAGCGGAUGAAGGGAGCUUUCUCCUGGAUUCAGCGGCGGACGGGUGAGUAAUGCCUAGGAAUCUGCCUGGUAGUGGGGGAUAACGUCCGGAAACGGGCGCUAAUACCGCAUACGUCCUGAUGUAGGAAGUGGGGGAUCUUCGGACCUCACGCUAUCAGAUGAGCCUAGGUCGGAUUAGCUAGUUGGUGGGGUAAAGGCCUACCAAGGCGACGAUCCGUAACUGGUCUGAGAGGAUGAUCAGUCACACUGGAACUGAGACACGGUCCAGACUCCUACGGGAGGCAGCAGUGGGGAAUAUUGGACAAUGGGCGAAAGCCUGAUCCAGCAAUGCCGCGUGUGUGAAGAAGGUCUUCGGAUUGUAAAGCACUUUAAGUUGGGAGGAAGGGAAGUAAGUUAAUACAUUGCUGUCUUGACGUUACCAACAGAAUAAGCCACGGCUAACUUCGUG